rnacentral:rRNA from 1 species
GACGAACGCUGGCGGCGUGCUUAACACAUGCAAGUCGAACGGUGAAGCGCCUUCCUUUUUGGCGGGUGUGGAUGAGUGGCGAACGGGUGAGUAACACGUGAGUAUCCUGCCCCCUUCUUCUGGAUAACCGCAUGAAAGUGUGGCUAAUACGGGAUAUUCUGGGUCUGUCGCAUGAUGGGUCUGGGUAAGAUAUUGUUUCGGUGGGGGAUGGGCUCGCGGCCUAUCAGGUUGUUGGUGGGGUGGUGGCCUACCAAGGCGGGGACGGGUAGCCGGCAUGGGAGCGUUGCCUGUCUGGCUGGGGCGGAGGAUCGGCCAAGCCUGCAACGGGAGGCAGCCGUGAGGACUAUGGGACGAUGGGGGCGGGCCUGUUGCAGCGUCGCCGCGAGAGUGAUGGAGGCCUGCGGGUUGUGAGCCUCUGUCGCCAGGGAAGCAGAGCUGCCUUGUCUGUGAGUGGAUUGACGGUAGCUGGAUAAGAAGCGCCGGCUAACUACGUG